GGGGAGUUUCCAGAGCGGUCAAAUGGGGCAGACUGUAAAUCUGUUGGCUCAGCCUUCGGAGGUUCAAAUCCUUCACUCCCCA
rnacentral:tRNA from 1 species